GAUGAACGCUGGCGGCGUGCUUAACACAUGCAAGUCGAACGGAAAGGCUCCUGCUUGCAGGGGUACUCGAGUGGCGAACGGGUGAGUAACACGUGGGUGAUCUGCCCUGCACUUCGGGAUAAGCCUGGGAAACUGGGUCUAAUACCGGAUAGGACCACAUUUUGGAUGGUGUGGUGGAAAGUUUUUCGGUAUGGGAUGAGCUCGCGGCCUAUCAGCUUGUUGGUGGGGUAAUGGCCUACCAAGGCGUCGACGGGUAGCCGGCCUGAGAGGGUGUACGGCCACAUUGGGACUGAGAUACGGCCCAGACUCCUACGGGAGGCAGCAGUGGGGAAUAUUGCACAAUGGGCGCAAGCCUGAUGCAGCGACGCCGCGUGGGGGAUGACGGCCUUCGGGUUGUAAACUCCUUUCGCUAGGGACGAAGCGCAAGUGACGGUACCUGGAGAAGAAGCACCAGCUAACUACGUG
rnacentral:rRNA from 1 species